AACGAACGCUGGCGGCAUGCCUAACACAUGCAAGUCGAACGAGACCUUCGGUUCUAGUGGCGCACGGGUGCGUAACGCGUUGGAACCUGCCCUUAGUUUCGGACUAACUCCCCGAAAGGGGUGCUAAUACCGGAUAAUGUCUUCGGACCAACGAUUUAUCGCCUUUGGAUGGGCCCGCGUUGGAUUAGCUAGUUGGUAGGGUAAAAGCCUACCAAGGCGACGAUCCAUAGCUGGUCUGAGAGGAUGAUCAGCCACCCUGGGACUGAGACACGGCCCAGACUCCUACGGGAGGCAGCAGUGGGGAAUAUUGGACAAUGGGCGAAAGCCUGAUCCAGCAAUGCCGGGUGAGAGAUGAAGGCCUUAGGGUUGAAAAGCUCUUUUACACGGGAUGAUAAUGACAGUACCGGGAGAAUAAGCUCCGGCUAACUCCGUG
rnacentral:rRNA from 1 species